rnacentral:RNase_P_RNA from 1 species
GAGGAAAGUCCGGGCUCCAUAGGGCAGGGUGCCAGGUAACGCCUGGGGGGGAAACCCACGACCAGUGCAACAGAGAGCAAACCGCCGAUGGCCCGCGCAAGCGGGAUCAGGUAAGGGUGAAAGGGUGCGGUAAGAGCGCACCGCGCGGCUGGUAACAGUCCGUGGCACGGUAAACUCCACCCGGAGCAAGGCCAAAUAGGGGUUCAUAAGGUACGGCCCGUACUGAACCCGGGUAGGCUGCUUGAGCCAGUGAGCGAUUGCUGGCCUAGAUGAAUGACUGUCCACGACAGAACCCGGCUUAC